rnacentral:tRNA from 1 species
UCCCAUGUGGCUCAGUUGGAAGAGCAUGGUGCUUGCAAUGCCAGGGUUGUGGGUUCAAUUCCCACAGGGGAC